rnacentral:rRNA from 1 species
UACGUAGGGGGCAAGCGUUGUCCGGAAUCAUUGGGCGUAAAGAGCGCGUAGGCGGUCCGAUAAGUCGGUUGUGAAAACUGGGGGCUCAACCCUCAGAGGCCGACCGAUACUGUCGGGCUAGAGUCCGGAAGAGGCGAGUGGAAUUCCUGGUGUAGCGGUGAAAUGCGCAGAUAUCAGGAGGAACACCAAUGGCGAAGGCAGCUCGCUAGGACGGUACUGACGCUGAGGCGCGAAAGCGUGGGGAGCAAACAGG